UUUCGCAAUGCCCGAAAGGGUGACGAAGCGACGCCGCGUGCGGGAGGAAGGCCUUCGGGUUGUAAACCGCUGUCGGGAGUUAAGAAAUGCAAGGAUGUUAAUAGUGUUCUUGCUUGACUAAGGCUCCGGAGGAAGCCACGGCUAACUCUGUGCCAGCAGCCGCGGUAAUACAGAGGCGGCAAGCGUUGUUCGGAAUUAUUGGGCGUAAAGAGCACGUAGGCGGCUGUGUAAGUCUGUUGUGAAAGCCUUCCGCUCAACGGAAGAACGGCAUCCGAUACUGCAUGGCUUGAGUGUGGGAGGGGAGAGUGGAACUUCUGGUGGAGCGGUGAAAUGCGUAGAUAUCAGAAGGAACACCGGCGGCGAAGGCGACUCUCUGGUCCAUAACUGACGCUGAGUGUGCGAAAGCUAGGGGAGCAAACGGGAUUAGAUACCCCGGUAGUCCUAGCCGUAAACGAUGGGCACUAAGUAGAGGGGUUUU
rnacentral:rRNA from 1 species